rnacentral:rRNA from 1 species
CGAGCACGCGCGUGUGGCAUAUCAAUAAGCGGAGGAAAAGAAACUAACAAGGAUUCCCCUAGUAACGGCGAGUGAAGCGGGAAGAGCUCAAAUUUGAAAUCUUAAAGGGUUUCCCUUUACGAAUUGUAGUUUAGAGAAGUGUUUUCUGUUGGAGUUUCGGUAAAAGUUCUUUGGAAUAGGACAUCAUAGAGGGUGAGAAUCCCGUAUUUGAUCACUUUCUACUAACGUUGUGAUACACUUUCAAAGAGUCGGAUUGUUUGGGAAUGCAGUCCAAAAUGGGUGGUAAAUUUCAUCUAAAGCUAAAUAUUGGCGAGAGACCGAUAGCGAACAAGUACCGUGAGGGAAAGAUGAAAAGAACUUUGAAAAGAGAGUUAAACAGUACGUGAAAUUGUCAAAAGGGAAGCGUUUGACACCAGUGUUGUUUUUCCGAAAAUCAAUUACUGAAUGGUUUGAUUUUGAGGAGUUCAUGACUUUAAAUCGCUUGCUCCUUUCUUUACGAAACUUUCUUAAUGCACUUUUCGGUUGACAAGUCAACAUCAAUUUCUUUUGUUGUAAAAGGGUAUGAGGAAGGUGGCUUUCUUUUCGGAGAAAGUGUUUAUAGCCUUGUGCCUCUGCAAUCGGAGAGAUUGAGGUCUGCAGCGUAGAUCCUUCGGGGUUAGAUACAUUUGUGCUAAGCCAUAGCCUUGUAUAGACAACUUGUUGACUAUGCUCAGUCAUGUAGCUUACUCGCUUAUGCUAUUUUACCUACGCUUAGGAUGUUGAGCGCAUGUCUCUCUCU